UACGUAGGGUGCAAGCGUUGUCCGGAAUUAUUGGGCGUAAAGAGCGUGUAGGCGGCCCGAUUAGUCCGCUGUGAAAGUCCAGGGCUCAACCCUGGAAUGCCGGUGGAUACUGUCGGGCUAGAGUCCGGAAGGGGCGAGUGGAAUCCUGGUGUAGCGGUGAAAUGCGCAGAUAUCAGGAGGAACACCAAUGGCGAAGGCAGCUCGCUGGGACGUGACUGACGCUGAGACGCGAAAGCGUGGGGAGCAAACAGG
rnacentral:rRNA from 1 species